UACGUAGGGUCCGAGCGUUGUCCGGAAUUAUUGGGCGUAAAGGGCUCGUAGGCGGUUUGUCACGUCGGGAGUGAAAACUCAGGGCUCAACCCUGAGCGUGCUUCCGAUACGGGCAGACUAGAGGUAUGCAGGGGAGAACGGAAUUCCUGGUGUAGCGGUGAAAUGCGCAGAUAUCAGGAGGAACACCGGUGGCGAAGGCGGUUCUCUGGGCCUUACCUGACGCUGAGGAGCGAAAGCGUGGGGAGCAAACAGG
rnacentral:rRNA from 1 species